rnacentral:rRNA from 1 species
GACGAACGCUGGCGGCGUGCUUAACACAUGCAAGUCGAACGGAAAGGCCCUGCUUUUGUGGGGUGCUCGAGUGGCGAACGGGUGAGUAACACGUGAGUAACCUGCCCUUGACUUUGGGAUAACUUCAGGAAACUGGGGCUAAUACCGGAUAGGAGCUCCUGCUGCAUGGUGGGGGUUGGAAAGUUUCGGCGGUUGGGGAUGGACUCGCGGCUUAUCAGCUUGUUGGUGGGGUAGUGGCUUACCAAGGCUUUGACGGGUAGCCGGCCUGAGAGGGUGACCGGCCACAUGGGGAAGGAGAGACGGCCCAGCCUCAUAGGGGGGGAAGCAGGGGGGAAUUGGGCAAAAGGGGCGGAAGCGUGAUGCAGCACCGCCGGGGGGGGGAGGAGGGCCUGGGGUUUGAACCCCGUUUGCGCUUGUGAAGAAGGGGGAGGGAGGGGAAGGGGAAAAGAAGCACGGGCAAACGAGGUG